UACGGGGGGGGCAAGCGUUGUUCGGAAUUACUGGCGUAAAGGGCCAGUAGGCGGCCAACUAAGUCGGAUGUGAAAUCCCCAGGCUUAACCUGGGAACUGCAUCCGAUACUGGAUGGCUUGAAUUCGGGGAGAGGGAUGCAGAAUUCCAGGGUGUGAGCGGUGAAAUGCGUAGAUAUCUGGAGGAAUACCGGUGGCGAAGGCGGCAUCCUGGACCGACAUUGACGCUGAACGGCGAAAGCUAGGGGAGCAAACGGG
rnacentral:rRNA from 1 species